GNCNANCUGAUCAGCCAUGCCGCGUGUGUGAAGAAGGUCUUCGGAUUGUAAAGCACUUUAAGUUGGGAGGAAGGGCAGUAAGUUAAUACCUUGCUGUUUUGACGUUACCAACAGAAUAAGCACCGGCUAACUUCGUGCCAGCAGCCGCGGUAAA
rnacentral:rRNA from 1 species